rnacentral:lncRNA from 1 species
CUUAUGAUGCGCAUGCACGUGACUUUGUUGUUUUUUUAUUUUUCUUCUGGGAUGAAUACCUAUUGCCCGGUUGUAAAAUUAUUGCAAUUUUACGUUAAAAAAUACCCUAAAGGAUUGAUUGUAAACAUCGUUUGAUGUGUUUCUACAAAUGGUAAUGGAACUUUGAACAUUUCGUCUAUGGAUUUGCGUCCACACCACAUGGCAUUGUAAAGUGUUCUGGAUGGGUCAACAAAACAGACGUAUUUGGACACAAAUGACGGACUUUGCAGAACAAAUGAACAUUUCUUGUGGAAGUGGGUGCCCAUCUGAAUGCAUUCCGCCGAAGAUCAGCAAAGGAGUGUCAUCUGAUGAAGAUUGUCAAAGGUUAGUGCUUCAUUUUAGCUGUAUAUCUGGUUUUUUCGAUGGCUAUCCGUGCUUGGAAAAUGGCUUUUUUUUUUUUUUUGCUAAGGUGCUAUGCUAAAAUAAUCUAAUGUUUUGCUUUCACCGUAAAGCCUUUUUGAAAUCGGACAAUGUGAUUGGAUUAACGAGUAGAGUAUCUUUAAAAUGCCGUAUAAUACUUGAAUUUUAAUUUUGAGAUAUAUAUUUUUUUUUGAAUUUUGAGCCGUGCUAUCUCACUGGUUGUUGUCCAACCAAUCCCGUUAACGGGAUUUUAUCCUCUAAAGGUUAACCUCUCUCUUUUUCCAUGAAUUUUAAUAUUUUGCUCAUUUAGGGUCACAAACCUAACUUCAAAAUGUGGACAUAUUGAUGUGUUGUGGGAUGUCUGUGUAGAUUUUGUAUGCAAACAUAGUGUUGUGGGUCAUUUUGACCCGGUGGAUUUCAUGUGUAUAGAUAUUUGCACAGGUCCAAAAUAAACAAGUGUCUUUGAUGUAUUUCGUUUUGACUGGUUCUGAUUGCACUUUUGUAAUUAUGUUUGGGUGAAAAUGAGCUUUCCCAAGCUUUUCUUUCUCAGUGCGAGAGCAGCAGAUCUCUAACAUAGACACUCAAAAAUGAGCUCCAAAAGAUUUUAAGGCAAUGAAUCCAUAUCACAAAUUCUGGACUGUGACAGUGAAAUAGAAGAAGAGAUUUCAGAGACAGAGGACAUUUCAGAGACAGACGACAUUUCAGAGACAGAGGACAUUUCAGAGACAGAGGACAAUGCUGUUGAUGAUCCAGAUUGUGAAGCUAAAGCUGGGCCAUCUAAACCCGCUUCCAAUCAACCAGCAAUGGAUCCAGUGGAUACAGGGGAUGUGAAGAAAUGGAAAAGCUGCCCCCCCACCUCUCGAC